GCGUUCUGCGCGGUGUGUUCCGUCUUCUCGGCGCGGACCGCAUUCCCGUGGACGUUCGCCCUCAGCGGCGGGGCUCGACACGAAAAGCAUCCGUGGAGCUCAAGUUUGAGGUGAAACCAGGCUCAGGGUCCACCUGUCCUUGCUGAUCCAUGGAUUUCUGUGUGACCAGGUUACACCUAUGGAGCCGUGGCCCCGACUACCAACAGUGAGUAUUCCUGGCCCUGAUCUCCUGUGUCCCGUCUGCAU